rnacentral:rRNA from 1 species
GUGUCAGCAGCCGCGGUAAGACGAACCGUGCGAACGUUGUUCGGAAUCACUGGGCUUAAAGGGCGCGUAGGCGGGCAGGCAAGUCAGGGGUGAAAGCCCACGGCUCAACCGUGGAAGUGCCUUUGAUACUGCUUGUCUUGAGGGAGGUAGGGGCGUGCGGAACUUCCGGUGGAGCGGUGAAAUGCGUAGAUAUCGGAAGGAACACCGGUGGCGAAAGCGGCGCGCUGGACCUCUACUGACGCUGAGGCGCGAAAGCCAGGGGAGCAAACGGGAUUAGAAACCCGCGUAGUCC